UAAGGGGGAAAGUUGAAAAGAAAGAUCCUUUUUUUGCUGCUUAAAAGGAUUGUUGAACAACGAAAGCUGCCUUUAGAAUGUUUUUUUGCAAAUGCUUGUUGGCUCCGAAUAACGUGUUCGUUAACUCCCUAGGUAAUAAAGACACGACCUUCAGUUAAGUAAGCUAACAUCAUUUCACUGUAGAAGAUUAGGUGUCACGCCCCGACCCUCAGGCACGCACACAUCCCUUACUCUUGGUCGAUUUUAAAUUGCGAUAUCCCAGGACUAUGUAUCGCCGACCCUUUCAUUCUUUAUAGCACAUGCGGAAGCAGUUAUAAAUCCCCAGACAAUAAAGCAAUGGGAUAGAAAAAGCAGGCCAUAUAUUUUCCUUACUGAAAAUUCACAACUAUAUCUUUUUACAUGCAUCUCAUAGUAUUCUACAAUACUAUAUAUAUGCGGCUCUGGUCUAACGUCUAUUCACAUGCAAACAAGGUCUGACAAGACAGGACAGGAUCUCGGUCCUCAUCCGGGUCGUACUCGAUGUCAUACUCGGGGUCCUCCUCCACGUACUCCUCUUCAGGUUCCUCAACAAGGACCUCCUCGUCAGAUUCAUGCUCCUUAGGCUCCUCAUCCAGAUCCUGAAAUGGUUAUUCAAUAACCACUGAGACAAUGUCUCAGCAAGUUCUACCUCCUAAGACCCGAUUAGUAAACUAAUACACCUUAGGGCUGCCUAUGCACAACAUGAGUCAGAGGACUUACCUUGGCCUCAGAUUCCACCUGCAGAUUAGCACAGAUCAAAUAGGCACCCAAGCAAUCACAUCACAGAUCGAAGCAUCGAUCAAAUCGACCGAGUCGAUUACACGCCAACAAGACCACUCACGGUCACUUUCAUUCAAUCAACCAAUUCACAAUAUCAGAUUAAAACAAUGAUCAAUCGACCUAGUCGAUUACAUGUCAUACCAAUCAUUCUCCACGGAGGAGUACCUAAAAGCUAGAACACGUGCAUUUUCAAGGACGACAUUCCAAGUCUCCGAGCCACGUGCCUCGAACCUUGGGCCCACGUGCAUUCUCUAAGGCGACCUCUUCGCCAAGGUGAUACAUCAAGUCACCGAGCCACGUGCCCUUUUAGAUGCUAUUUCCGAAUACUGGACCCACGUGCAUUCUCUAAGGCACUAGUUCACCAAAGUGACGCAUCAGAUCACCGAGCCACGUGUCCUUUUAGAUGCCGUUCUCAAACACUGGACCCACGUGCAUUCUCUAAGGUACUCGCUUACCAAAGUGACACAUCAGAUCACCGAGCCACGUGUCCUUUUAGAUGCCUGGGUCCACGUGCAUUCUCUUAGGUGCUAUCUCACCAAAGUGAUGCAUUAAUUCACCGAGCCACGUGCCAUUUUAGAUGCCAAACUCUGUCACCGAGCCACGUGCAUUCUCCAGGACGACAUACCGAGUCUCCGAGCCACGUGCAUUCUCUCAGGUGACCUUUUCGCCAAGGUGACAUAUUCAACCACUCAAUUCACGUGCAUUCUCCAGGUGAUAUUCCAAUUCACCGAGCCCACGUGUUUUCUUCAAGUGAUUACCAAUCUACUAUCAAUACCGACAACCAAUGCCCAACGAUUUCUCAAUCAAAUAAUUAAAUCAACUCCACAAAGCAUUAUAAAUGCUGAAUAACAUACUUGGCUAUUUACCAAUCUACAAUUCAAUCUCAAUCAAUUCCAAUCAAUUUAGGGUAAAUCCAUAAAAUAUCACAAUUUAUUCAAUUCCAUACAACGUGGAGCUCAAAUAAAUAAACGGACUGCACCACGACGAUCAGCACGAGAUUUCGGUCGUCGGCCAUCAAAAUCUUAAUUUCCGAAAAAUAAUUAAUUAAUUUAUUAAUUUCGAAAAUUAAAAUAAUUAAUAUUAAAAAUUCAAUUUAGCUCAAAAUAAAGCCCGAUUAAAUAAACGGACUUCACCACGGUCAUCAGCAUAAUUUUCCGGUCACUGGUCAUCCCAGUUGAAUUUUCGGAAAAUAAAUAAUUAAAUAAUUAAUUUCAAAAAUUAAUAUUUAAUUCCUAAACAUUCCAAUUAGGCCUGAAUCGCCUAAUUAACACCCGAUAAGGGAUGGGAAAAAUCCCAAGAAGCAUCCAAUAAAUACUACAAGCAAUUCUCUAUCUAAUUACACUAAUCACACAACUAAUAUGUAAAGCAAUUAACUAAUAAUCGCUAAUCAAUUCUAAUCUAACUACCUAAUUACACUUAAUUAACACUAAUCAACCUUUAAGUAUAAUUAGCAAAUUAAGAAGGCAUUAGGGAGUAAAACUCACUCAAAACGACGGGCUCGACGCGAGGAUCGACUUUCCUCAAAGUGGGCCGAGCAUUCGGGCUCGGGAAGGCGGCCAAAACGGGCCAAAACCUCACUGUCAUACCCAUUUUUUGUCUUCUCUGUUUGCUGCUGGAAGGGGCGGUUCCGGCGCUGAUUCAAGCUGUACAAGGCUGGCGGAGGGCGAGGGGACUCCGGUGAGGCCGGAUGGUGGCCGAAGGAGGCCGAACCAUGGCCUGUGAUGGUCAAAACGAAGCUGAACAGAGGCAGAACAGGGGCUGGGUCGCACAGCGGGGACGGCAGGCGCGAGCGUGAGGCGGACGGCGGCGAGGCGGUGUGCGGCGACGAUGGCAGCUCCGGCGCGAUUGCAGCCCCUUCAACCGACGAUGGCUGCUGCUUCUGUUUUCAUCUUCUCUGGUUCGCAAGGUGAGAGGGAGAGGGUGGGGCGGAGCUGCGCGAGGCAGCAGGACGGUGGACGGCGGCGACUCCGGCUCCGGAUGCUUGCUACGACGGCGCUGAGAGGAAUCGCUGCUUCGGCCUGCUGGUUCGCUGGUCUUCAGCUUCCAUGGCGUCGUGCAGCUGAAGAUGAAGAUGCAGGGGAGAGAGGCAGCGACGAGGAAGAAAUGGGGAACCGGUUUCCCCUUUUUCCUCUCUCACUCUCUCUCUCUCUUAUGUCAUCCGCACGUGGGCCACCAUGGGCUGUCAUCCACCCACAUUUCUAGCCCAAAAAUGCCCCUUCUAGAAGCCUUUAGAUAGGCCAAAAUGUGGGGGUAAGUGUGGCAUACGAAUUUUGCUAGGUUUUCUUUCCAAUUGAGCCUUAACUCCUCUUGAAUUAAAUCAAAUUGACUCCCAUAAUUUCAUUCAACACCUCAUCAUUCCAAUUGGUAUUUUUCCUUAUCAAUGUAGCCCACUUGUAUCCCAAUUUCACAAUCCAUGGCUUCAAUUGAACGUAAACGGCCCUAUUUAUCUAGUCGAAAUUAGAACCUGAAAAAUCUGGAUGUCACAUUAGGUGGCCCUGAAGAAGCCCCCAAAAAGCCCACAUCAUUUACUUGUUUAGAAACAUAAAUUUGAAAUUAAACAAAUUACAUUGUAAUUAAUCGACUACCUUAAAACAUAUUUGAACAAUUACAUAACUUCACGCAUGUGUAUGAUAUUUGAAGGUGAAUUCUUUCAUUUCAAGGUAAGAUAUUGAAAUUACGUACGUAACUCCAUGGAAGCAUCUUCCUCUGGAUAUAAGCUCACACUAUGCCUAAUCCUUGUCAUAAUCUUCGACCUUGCUAUUAUUAUUUUUAUCCUAAUACAUAAACAACCCUAACUAUCUCCACCACCUCAUUUUCACAACCCCUUCUAUGUAUUCCCAUGUCCAUUGGCCAAACUAAUGAAGUGUCAUGUAAUUGUUGCCCAAUAAACCAGAUCCUCCAUAUGUGUACACUUUCCUAAUUGGAGGGAAUUUCCAUCUAUCACGUUUUUAAUUUGGCGGGUUUCGAGUUUUAGGCAUUGCUCAUAUGUAAAAUUAACUAAAUCUAAAACAUUAAUCAAGGAAAAAUUUUCAAUUGAUCAAUUGUUUUGAUUAUGAAUGAAGUCGAUGAAAAUGAUUCUAAAUGAAAGAAAAAUACUUCCUUUUGGGCCCACAUUUUAUUUCUUUCUAAAAGUGCAUAGAAAUGAGAGGAAAUGUGAAAAUUGCACUUUUCUUCGGAUUGGCCUUACUUCCUUUUUAAGGAUGAAUAGAAUGAACGAUAAUUAAGUCUAUCAAUGAAAUUAAGUUCCAUUAACAUCAUUUCCACCCAACAUGCAUCCUAACAUUUUUCGAGGACUUUUAACUUAUUUCUCCAAGCAAACUCGAGCUUCUCCGACGAGCUGAUACGUUCUUCUCUCUUCAAACGGCUCGGAACUAGGUACUCUCCCUCUUACUUAACUUCAAUUAAUCUCAUACCAUCUUUGUUCUCCUUCCCUCCCUCCCUCUUUUCUCUUUUUGUGUGAAUGUUGCUUCUCUAUUCGUAUCGGGUUGUUUGCUUCACUUCUUUGAUGUUUUCAUUCAAAUUUUGUGAUUUCACAUUUUAAUUUUAUUUAAAAUUGUCAUAUUCUUAAUGAUGUUGGAAAUGCAAGGUAGAGAUGAACAAAUGGUCAUCGUCAUUUCUCUCUUAUUUAUUUCGCGUUGGCCCCAAAUGCCAAUAAUUUUAUAUAAGAUGAAUCUAUGAUAUGAUGUUACCAAGCUAUUCACUUCAAACUUUCAAAUUUAAAUUUUUGAUUGAUAAAUUGUCUGCAAAAUAGAGUUAUAAUUUGUUAAAUGACACCAAAUGAGCAUAACGCGUUAGUAUUAAGUUACUAAUGAUAUAUGAAAUACUUGUACACUGUCCUUGAGUUCUUUUCUGGGUCAUUUUUUUUAUUACAAUUUUGUCAGCAUAGCAUUCAACUCUUGAGAAGUCAGUAAAACAAUGAUAAAAGAAGUAUGCAAAAUAUUAAAAAGUAAAAGAUAAAUUAGGAAAAAACAUAGAAAAGAAGGGAAUGAAGUGUCUAGGCUUACUUUUAGAAGGAAGCGGCGAUAUUUAGAAGUAAUGUCCAAAAGGCUUUUGAAUUAUGAAUUCACGACACAUAGAAACUUUCAUGAACAUGAAUUGAAAGCUAAAAAGGGAAUGAAAAAUGUAUGGCAAUUUGAGGGCGAAAAUUGGAACAUAAGAUGCUUUUUUGCUGCAUAAAAAGGAUCGAUGAACUAAUCUCCACGAACAAUAACAAACGUAAAUCCGUUACCGCACAAGGAAAAACGAACAUGAAAUCUUUAAUUAAUUGGUAAUUGAUCGACUAGGAGCAGUUGCAGAUGCUUUUAGCCUCCGCCUUAUCUUCUUUUGGACCUCAAACUAUUCAAGUCAAACUUGUUGGCUUGAUCCACCCACGAGUACCGUGUACAUUAAUUUUUCAAUUGGGCUAUAAAGAACUAGAAUUCGUGUACAACCAUAUGGCAUUCAAUUAAGAAUAUAAGUAUAAGUUUGAUCUUUAUUUGGUUAUUGAAACUCAGAAUUUGAUAAAUCAUUUAAAAGAUAAUAAUUGAGUUGAAACGGAAUUAGAAAUGUGUGAAAGACUUCAAGAAAGGACCAAGCUAGUAAUUGUGGAUGUGAUUUUAUAUUUUAAUUUUGUUUAACAAUGUCAGUUGGAAAUGUGAGGUAAAGAUAAACAAAUGGUAGUGGUUAUUUAUCUUUUGUCCAUUUCACGCUGGAACCACAUGCUACAAUUCCAUGUAAAAUGAAUUUAUUUUGAAUUAGUAU
rnacentral:lncRNA from 1 species